CUUUUCUUGUUAGUUUUUGAAGUAUGGCCUGCCCACUGACUUUGGUUGAAGGGCCGCGGUAUUUUGACCGUGCAAAGGUAGCAUAAUCAUUAGUUCUUUAAUUGUGAUCUGGUAUGAAUGGCUUGACGAGACACGAGCUGUCUUAGGGGUAUCUGUUGUUGAAUUUAGUUUUUGAGUUAAAAUUCUUAAAUGUUUUUAUGGGACGAGAAGACCCUAUAGAGUUUGACAUAUUGCUUUGCUUAUAUUUUUUUGUUUGUUUUAGGGUUUGGUUGGAGUUGUAUGUUUUGUUGGGGCGAUGAGAGGUAUUUCUUAACUCCUCUUUGCUUUGUAUAUAUUUAUUUAUAUUUGUUUGAUCCAUUUAUUUUGAUUAUAAGAUUAAAUUACC
rnacentral:rRNA from 1 species